rnacentral:rRNA from 1 species
GACGAACGCUGGCGGCGUGCUUAACACAUGCAAGUCGAACGGAAAGGCCCUGCUUUUGUGGGGUGCUCGAGUGGCGAACGGGUGAGUAACACGUGAGUAACCUGCCCUUGACUUUGGGAUAACUUCAGGAAACUGGGGCUAAUACCGGAUAGGAGCUCCUGCUGCAUGGUGGGGGUUGGAAAGUUUCGGCGGUGGGGGAUGGACUCGCGGCUUAUCAGCUUGUUGGUGGGGUAGUGGCUUACCAAGGCUUUGACGGGUAGCCGGCCUGAGAGGGUGACCGGCCACAUUGGGACUGAGCUACGGCCCAGACUCCUACGGGAGGCAACAGUGGGGAAUAUUGCACAAUGGGCGGAAGCCUGAUGCAGCAACGCCGCGUGCGGGAUGACGGCCUUCGGGUUGUAAACCGCUUUCGCCUGUGACGAAGCGUAAGUGACGGUAAUGGGUAAAGAAGCACCGGCUAACUACGUG